AUUGAACGCUGGCGGCAGGCUUAACACAUGCAAGUCGAACGAGUGGCGGACGGGUGAGUAAUGCUUGGGAAUCUCGCUUAUGGCGGGGGAUAACUACGGGAAACUGUAGCUAAUACCGCGUACCAUAGGAUGAGCCCAAUUGGGAUUAGGUAGUUGGUGGGGUAAAGGCUCACCAAGUCGCCGCUCGCUAGCUGGUCUGAUAGGAUGACCAGCCACACUGGGACUGAUACACGGCCCAGACUCCUACGGGAGGCAGCAGUGGGGAAUAUUGCGCAAUGGGGGCAACCUGACGCAGCCAUGCCGCGUGUAUGAAGAAGGCCUUCGGGUUGUAAAGUUCUUUCGGUAGCGAGGCGUUAACUACAGAAGAAGCACCGGCGAACUCCGUGCCAGCCGCCGCGGUAAUUC
rnacentral:rRNA from 1 species